rnacentral:rRNA from 1 species
ACAGCCGUUGCACACGAGUCAGUCGAUCCUAAGCCCUAGGAGAAAUCCGAUGCCGAUGCGGCGGCGGCGGGCCUCGCGAGGGGCCCGCCCGCCCCGUCCGGGCGAAAGGGAAUCCGGUU